rnacentral:rRNA from 1 species
GAUGAACGCUGGCGGCGUGCCUAAUACAUGCAAGUCGAGCGAACGGACGAGAAGCUUGCUUCUCUGCUGUUAGCGGCGGACGGGUGAGUAACACGUGGAUAACCUACCUAUAAGACUGGGAUAACUUCGGGAAACCGGAGCUAAUACCGGAUAAUAUUUUGAACCGCAUGGUUCAAAAGUGAAAGACGGUCCUGCUGUCACUUAUAGAUGGAUCCGCGCUGCAUUAGCUAGUUGGUAAGGUAACGGCUUACCAAGGCAACGAUGCAUAGCCGACCUGAGAGGGUGAUCGGCCACACUGGAACUGAGACACGGUCCAGACUCCUACGGGAGGCAGCAGUAGGGAAUCUUCCGCAAUGGGCGAAAGCCUGACGGAGCAACGCCGCGUGAGUGAUGAAGGUCUUCGGAUCGUAAAACUCUGUUAUUAGGGAAGAACAUAUGUGUAAGUAACUGUGCACAUCUUGACGGUACCUAAUCAGAAAGCAACGGCUAACUACGUG